rnacentral:sRNA from 1 species
ACACGGAAGUAGCUCCGAACAGGAAGAGGACGAAAAAAAUAACCGUCCGCGACGCCCAGACAAACCGGACCCGCAACCACCAUGAACAGCAAAGCUCUAUCGUCCGAGCUUUGUGCACCCAGGGGCUGCCACAGUCCCCACCAUGUCAGCCGCAUUUCCUGGAGCCUCUCUGUAUCUUCCCAUGGCCCAGUCUGUGGCUGUUGGGCCUUUAGGUUCCACAAUCCCCAUGGCUUAUUAUCCAGUCGGUCCCAUCUAUCCACCUGGCUCCACAGUGCUGGUGGAAGGAGGGUAUGAUGCAGGUGCCAGAUUUGGAGCUGGGGCUACUGCUGGCAACAUUCCUCCUCCACCUCCUGGAUGCCCUCCCAAUGCUGCUCAGCUUGCAGUCAUGCAGGGAGCCAACGUCCUCGUAACUCAGCGGAAGGGGAACUUCUUCAUGGGUGGUUCAGAUGGUGGCUACACCAUCUGGUGAGGAACCAAGGCCAUCU